rnacentral:lncRNA from 1 species
GCACACAUCCACCUCAAGCAGUCCUGGCAGUGGGGAUGACCCCGAGGUGGAGCAAGCAUUGGAUACUCAUCUCCAGCCUUUAUACGAGCCGAGACUGGGCCAACGCUUGUAUUGUGCUGCGGUGCAUCCAUGGCACAACCAGUGGGUGGACAGGGGAUGGUGGAUGUCAUGUUUGUGGACCACUUUCAUUGCUAUACUUUGAAUUUUUGACUACUCACAUGUGUGGUGUUGAACAUGUCCUUAACAAUUUGGUGCAGCUUGGUGUGCGCAUCUCAGCAGAGUGUGGGAUGGCACUGUGUCAGAAGCAGGUAAUGUGUUUGUAAGGACGAGGGCAUUCUGGAGGGUAGAAAAACUGUAAGAUUCUUUCUUACAUCACUUGUGAUGUGAUUAUGAUGGCCUUCCUGUGCUGCCAUGUAUCCAUGUAGGGCAUGGCUGUGUUGGGCUCCUCUGUAGCACAGUUAAACACCUCAUGGGAAAUAAUGGGUUCUGAACGGAAAAGGUUUCCUCUUGAUGUUCUAGUCUGGAUAUUCUAGACAAAUGAAAACAGAUUGGAAAAGCUGCUGGUGUGAGAAGUAGAAGAUGCCACUUAAAUCUCUCAGCCUGAUCUAAAGUAAUUGUGUAUGUAAUGGAGAAAAAAGCAACUUCUGAAGACCUUCGUGUUUUUUUUCCUCGCUGUCUCGAGAACAGUUGGACCUAUUUCCCCCUCCCAGUCAUUUGUGUGCUGCAGUAUCAUUGGUGAGGUGAAACAAGGGGUUCCUGUGAAGAAUUUGCUGCAAACAAAGAUACAUGUGAACUUUCUGCAUGACGACUCCUGUACUGGAUUAUAUAAUAUUGGGACUUCUGACUCUGUUCUGAUCCUUAAAAAUGAUUGGGUUUGUGUAUGAGAUUUAACCCACUUCUGAUGAGUGAUCUAGACAUGAGUUUACAUCGGCAAAUGGGCUCCGAUCGGGACCUGCAGUCUUCGGCUUCCUCUGUGAGUUUGCCUUCAGUCAAAAAGGCACCAAAGAAAAGAAGAAUUUCCUUGGGCUCUCUUUUUCGGAGAAAAAAAGACACAAAACGCAAGUCUAGGGAUCUGAAUGGAGGUGUCGAUGGAAUUGCAAGUAUUGAA